UUCUCCUCCCACUCACACUGAAAAGCUUGGGAGCCCUAAAAGGGUGUUGAUGGCGGGGGUGAUAAAUAAAUAAAUAAAUGACACUCUACGCGUGCGGUGGCGGAGAAAGGAGGGGGAGGGAGAGGCAAAGCGAGGAGAGGGAAGAGAAAAAGUAGGGAGAAGAGAAGCAGGAGGAGAAAGCUCCGAGGCGAAAGGGAAACAGUAGUCAAAGCAAGAAGAGAAAGAAGAAAGGAGAGAGGAGGACGGUUGAAAGCUUCUAUUACUGCUGGGUUUUGGAGGCUGUGAUAAAAUCUUCAUCGACGUGAAGACUCACCUCGAGCGACCGUGAUAGAGAGCUCCCGAACCGGCCGCGGGGGGACCUGGCUCCUCCCUCCCGUCCCAGGAGAAGAGGACAAAAAGGGGAGAUGGACUUGGAGAUGGCCCCGCCCUUCAAACGCUCCAAUCCUUGGAAACUAAACCUCCUCUCCAAGCCUCCACGUCUAGAAGGGACAAAGGCAGCGAGGAGAUCCAGAGACCGAUGGGGGAGAUAGGUGGCUUUCGGCCUUCUCAAGUGGGUGCUUUGGGCGAAAGGUACAAUGGCUGAGUUUCCAUUCCAAAUACAGGAUAGUCUUUAGAAGACCAUCUUCUGGUUUAGAAGCAAAUUGACUUCCCAAAGCCGUGAAGCAAACUACUGCAAAACUCCCGCAUAGCCCUGCUUUUUGAAUGUGGAGGGCUAAAAUUUCAGUUAACGAUGCCAUACACAAAUUUUUCGACUUUCUUUGAAGUCACAAGUGUCUUAACUAUCCAUCCGAAAUAAUUGAAAGAAAUUAACAUGAAAGAAAUAAACAUGGUGGGGGAGUGGGCUUUUUGUUUGCCUGCUUGUUUUUAU